CCAAACCUCAUAUCUAUCAGGUUCGUGACGUGUCCUUUCGGACCUACGCACUUCAGGCUCCACAAGAGUAGAUUCUACGGCUCUUCGUAAAUCUAAUUGAUCAUCUUCCUAAGAUUAUGAAACCACAUCCUGUGUUUCUCGAACUUCUUCGAGUUGUACUUUACUACCACUGUUCUUCUUAGAAAGAAAUUCUCUCUCAUGAAAAACAUCACUAUGAGCAACAAACUUUUUGUUCUCGGUGGGAUAGUAGAAGUAAUAACCUUUGGUUUCUUUAGGAACCAAUGAAGUAGCAUUCAUCAGAUUUAGGUCCGAG
rnacentral:lncRNA from 1 species